rnacentral:rRNA from 1 species
UAGGGAAUCUUCGGCAAUGGGGGCGAACCCUCGACCGAGCAACGCCGCGUGAGUGAAGAAGGGUUUCGGCUCGUAAAGCUCUGUUGUUAAAGAAGAACACGUAUGAGAGUAACUGUUCAUACGUUGACGGUAUUUAACCAGAAAGUCACGGCUAACUACGUGCCAG